CUACGUGCCAGCAGCCGCGGUCAUACGUAGGGUGCAAGCAUUAUCCGGAGUGACUGGGCGUAAAGAGUUGCGUAGGCGGUUUAAUAAGUGAAUAGUGAAACCUGGUGGCUCAACCAUACAGACUAUUAUUCAAACUGUUAAACUCGAGAAUGGUAGAGGUAACUGGAAUUUCUAGUGUAGGAGUGAAAUCCGUAGAUAUUAGAAGGAACACCGAUGGCGUAGGCAGGUUACUGGGCCAUUUCUGACGCUAAGGCACGAAAGCGUGGGGAGCGAACCGGAUUAGAUACCCGGGUAGUCCACGCCGUAAACGAUGGAUACUAGCUGUUGGAGGUAUCGACCCCUUCAGUAGCGAAGCUAACGCGUUAAGUAUCCCGCCUGUGGAGUACGGCCGCAAGGCUAAAACAUAAAGGAAUUGACGGGGACCCGCACAAGCGGUGGAUUAUGUUCUUUAAUUCGAUGAUAACCGAAGAACCUUACCAGGGCUUGACAUCCAG
rnacentral:rRNA from 1 species